UUUUAAGGCCAUUCUGGACAUAGAGUUGACUUUACAAUGAGAGCACGUAUUUCUAGGAGCCGGGGGUCAGGGUAUUUAAUUUAAUGUUUUUAUUGAGCAGUUUAGUAAUUGAAUAUUCAUGGUUAAACAGGCAUCAGAGGCCAAACUGAACCACAGGAGGGACCUUCAAGAGGUCCAGCUAGCUCGGACCAGCAGCAGUCGAGUGUGCAGGAAUCCACCACCAGGCCAUCUCCUAGCUCCCACGCUAUUUUCAAGCUGUAGGAUUUCUUGUAACCUACUUAAAUUCUUGUAAACAAUUAGUAACUGCUCUGAUAUCUGGUUGGAUUAGAUAACCAGAACUGGUGAAUAUUUAGUUACCCUAUUCUGGCAGUUGGUGUGGAUUUAUCAGUUUGUUUGACAGGUGGAAAAUUUGGGUUUAGUCAAAUUACAGGGGAGUCUCUGUCGAAAUUAAAGCAGGAGUCCAGAGAAAGUUUUAACCAUAUUUAUCUCCAGGAAGGGUAAAGAGGUCAUUGUGCCCGACAAUUGCCAGGUGUCGGACACGCACAGGGCUUGGCUCGAAUUCCAAAGCGAAAAUUGGGUCGGGCCCUGUCACCCAAAAUAUUAAUUUUUUUUAUAGAAUAGUGCAAGGCUAAAUUUUUCCAUCUCCAGCCAUGCAGGGCUAUAUUUUAGGGUCCUUUAUAUUUUAUUAUUUUCAGAAAGGGGAGUGGGGAGAGCUUUAAUGAUUGGCUGUUGAGAAGGACAUGGAUGGGGCCCACUAUAAUUUUGGCCUAGGCCAAAGCUGGGCUACAUUUGGCCCGGUUGGAGGGCUAAAGGGCCAAAUGUGGCCCUCUAAAUUUGGCCAAAAUUGUAUUUAGCCCAUGGCAGGAGAUGAGUUUUGCAUUAAUUUAAGGCUAUAUUUGGGAUAUAGCCCAUGGCUGGAGAUAGCCUAAUGUUGAUAUUUUGUUGAACUGGAAUUGCCAUUGCCAAUGUUGAUAUGAAUUAUGUAUUUUGAACU